CGCUCAGGUCCUCUUCCACGCUGUGGAAGCUUUGUUCUUUCCCUCUUUGCAAUAAAUCUUGCUACUGCUCACUCUUUAGGUCCACAGUGCUUUUAUGAGCUGUAACACUCACCACGAAGAUCUGCAGCUUCACUCCUGAAGCCAGCGAGACCAUGAGCCCACCGGGAAGAACGAACAACUCCAGACGCGCCGCCUUAAGAGCUGUAACACUCACCGCGAAGGUCUGCAGCUUCACUCCUGAGCCAGCGAGACCACGAACCCACCAGAAGGAAGAAACUCCGAACACAUCUGAACAUCAGAAAGAACAAACUCCAGACGCGCCACCUUAAGAGCUGUAACACUCACCGCAGGGGUCCGCGGCUUCGUUCUUGAAGUCAGUGAGACCAAGAACCCACCAAUUCCAGACACAAUAGGAUUUGUUGCAACAGAAAUCCUUCGAUAAAAGGAAUGUCCCUUGUAAUAAAGUGAAGCUUGACAGAUGAGGAGAUAAGGAAGCCUGCGG
rnacentral:lncRNA from 10 species